rnacentral:rRNA from 1 species
CAGUAGCGUAUAUUAAUGUUGUUGCAGUUAAAAGCUCGUAGUUGGAUUUCUGGAUUGAUUCCCUGCCGCCUUAUUGGUGUGUGCCGGUCGUGGAUUCAUCCAUCCUUCCAAGGAUUGCGUUUUUCCUUUACUGGUUUAGCGUGGAGACUUGGAUCUUUUACUUUGAAAAAUUAGAGUGUUUAAAGCAGGCAUUUGCUGGAAUACAUUAGCAUGGAAUAAUAACAUAGGACUUCGGUGCCUAUUUUGUUGGUUUCUAGGUCUGAAGUAAUGAUUGAUAGGGACAGUUGGGGGUGCUAGUAUUCAGCGGCCAGAGGUGAAAUUCAUGGAUUCGCUGAAGACUAACUUAUGCGAAAGCAUUCACCAAGGAUGUCUUCUUUAAUCAAGAACGAAAGUUUAGGGAGUGAAGACGAUCAGAUACC